AAGGCCACACACAAGUUCACUGUGGAGUCAAAGGCAGUGACCUUUCCACUGGCUCCCAUAAAUAAGUGCUCAAAGUAAAAACAAGAUAAUUUNNNNNNNNNNNNNNNNNNNNNNNNNNNNNNNNNNNNNNNNNNNNNNNNNNNNNNNNNNNNNNNNNNNNNNNNNNNNNNNNNNNNNNNNNNNNNNNNNNNAAAAACAAGAUAAUUUAUAAUCUGGAAAAUCCUCCUUUCUGCUCCCUAUCCCUUGUCAAGCUGUGUUGGGAGGCAGUGUUUGUAGAGGAAGGAUGGCAUCAGCUAGACACACCUGGUUCAACACCCCAGCCCGGCAUCCCAAGCUGUAAGGCCAUGCCAUGAACCACCAAGGCCUGAGUAUGUCCCCUUUCCUGCCCCUCCAUCCAGGGUCUGUCUGGUCUCCACUUGUAGGGCAGUUGGACCCUGCUCCUGAGCAUUGGGAAAUGAGAAGAAUCCAGAGAAGAGUUGCCAUGGCAACAGGAGAGUAGUGGCUGCUGCUAUGCAAGGUGAUCCAUGGCUUCACACACGUCAGAGUUUGCUUGUUUGCUUCCCAUCGGGGACUCAGAGCUUCCAGGUGUACAACAAGGUGAGUCUCCUUCUUACUCUGUUAUUGGGACUGGACUCUAGGUUGUGUAUAAGAAACAAAGCAGGGAGACCACUCGGGAGGUGCUGAAGUCACGGAACGGGAGAUCAUGGGGCCUGAACCCUGAGAGAAGCAGCGAAGGAAGUGAGAAGCAAUCAAAUUCAGGAAGCAUUUUUGAGGGAAGCGCUAUUUGCUAAUGGAGCAAAUGAGAAGCAUGAGAAAAGAGAAGAACAGAAGUUGAACCCAAAAUUCUGACCUGAGUCACCUAAAAUGUGAAGUAGCAAUUUGCUGAGAUGGACAAGAAUGAAGGAUAAGUGGUUUGGGGGAGCUGAGGAUAAGAAUUGGUUACGGAUGUAUUGAGUUUACCAUGUCUGUUAGAUAUCCACCUGGAGAUACAGAAUAGGCAGUUGGAUUUAGGAGCCUGGAGAUCAGGUGAGAGCUAAGCUGAAGAUAUAAAUUUGGGAACUGUGAGUACACAGGUGGUUUUUAAAGCCAUGAAGCUGGAUAAGAUGCCCUAGGAAUUAAGAACAGAUGUCUGUAGAGAACAGACUGGUAGUUGCCAAGAGGGACAGGGUUGGGGAAGGAAUGGAGUGGGUGAUUGGGGUUAGCAUAUGUAAACUUUAAUAUAUAGAAUGGAUAAACAACAAAGCCCUACUGUAAAGCACAGAAAACUAUAUUUAGUAUCUUAUGAUAACCCAUAAUGAAAAAGAAUAUUAAGAAAAAAUAAUGCACAUAUAAGUAUAACUGAAUCACUUUGCUGUGCACCAGAAGUUAACAAGCCAUUGUAAAUCAACUAUGCUUCAAUAAAAAAUAAAUUAAAAAGGAGAGAAAAAGACAUGCUUUCCUUACAUUGUCAGCAAUUUGGUUUCAGCACUUCAUCCACAACUGGUCUCCCAGAUGCCCAGAUUCUACAGGACUCCUAGCACCUGAGACCUGGUCAGGGGGGUGACAAUUUCCACGGAUGCUCAAACGCCAUCCAGAGCUCCUGUUACAGACUUCAAGCCUCACACCCUUGCACACUUCCCUCCCCCUUACACCUUGUACCCCUCUCAGGCAUCCUAUGAAAUGCAGGCGAUAGGACUUGCUCUACUUUCUUCCCAGGAAUAUUGUGAAGGUCAUCAAAGUGACCCUCAUCAGCUUUUAAGCUGGUCAACUGUGGCACACAUAUUAGUUACCUACGGAUUUUGCCAUAGCUAAUGAGAGUGGUCGUAGUCAGGAAGAGAGAAAGAAAGGGGCCCGGUGGCUGGUAAACUGAAGGUGGGGCUUAGAGAGAACAAACCAAGUUCAGCUGUCUCAAGAUACAGCUGUCUCUUAGACUGUUAACAAAAUUUGUUUUGGAUGCUCAGCACAUAGUAGGAACUGAGUGUCUUGCACAGAGGAGGUCCAUAGUUAAAAAUUGGUCCCAUUGGACCUCCCUGAUGUUCCAGUGGUUAAAGAAUCUUACUGCCUGUACAGGAGACAUGAGUUUGAUCCCUGGUCCAGGAAGAUUCCACAUGCUAUGAGGCAACUAAGCCCACGCGCCACAACUACGGAAGCUCACGUGCCCUAGAGCCAGUGCUCCGCAACAAGAGAAGUCACCGUGAUGAGAAGCCCUCAGCCUGUAACUAGAGAGUAGCCCUGGCUCACUGCAACCAGAGAAAACCUGCAUGCAGUAAGGAAGGCCCAGUGCAG
ensembl:lncRNA